CCUACGGGAGGCAGCAGUGAGGAAUAUUGGUCAAUGGGCGGGAGCCUGAACCAGCCAAGUAGCGUGCGGGAUGAAGGCCCUACGUGUUGUAAACCGCUUUUGCACGGGGAUAAAACCCUCCACUUGUGGAGGUCUGCAGGUACCGUGCGAAUAAGGGCCGGCUAAUUCCGUGCCAGCAGUCGCGGUAAUACGGAGGGUCCGAGCGUUAUCCGGUUUCAUUGGGGUUAAAGGGUGCGUAGGCGGGCGUUCAAGUCAGCGGUAAAAUCGCGCGGCUCAACCGCGCACCGCCGUUGAAACUGGACGGCUUGAGUUCGCAACAGGCAGGCGGAAUUCGUGGUGUAGCGGUGAAAUGCAUAGAUAUCACGAGGAACCCCGAUUGCGAAGGCAGCCUGCCGGCGUGCGACUGACGCUGAGGCUCGAAGGUGCGGGUAUCGAACAGGAUUAGAUACCCUAGUAGUC
rnacentral:rRNA from 1 species